UACGGCCGCAAGGUUAAAACUCAAAUGAAUUGACGGGGGCCCGCACAAGCGGUGGAGCAUGUGGUUUAAUUCGAUGCAACGCGAAGAACCUUACCUGGUCUUGACAUCCACGGAAGUUUUCAGAGAUGAGAAUGUGCCUUCGGGAACCGUGAGACAGGUGCUGCAUGGCUGUCGUCAGCUCGUGUUGUGAAAUGUUGGGUUAAGUCCCGCAACGAGCGCAACCCUUAUCCUUUGUUGCCAGCGGUUAGGCCGGGAACUCAAAGGAGACUGCCAGUGAUAAACUGGAGGAAGGUGGGGAUGACGUCAAGUCAUCAUGGCCCUUACGACCAGGGCUACACACGUGCUACAAUGGCGCAUACAAAGAGAAGCGACCUCGCGAGAGCAAGCGGACCUCAUAAAGUGCGUCGUAGUCCGGAUUGGAGUCUGCAACUCGACUCCAUGAAGUCGGAAUCGCUAGUAAUCGUGGAUCAGAAUGCCACGGUGAAUACGUUCCCGGGCCUUGUACACACCGCCCGUCACACCAUGGGAGUGGGUUGCAAAAGAAGUAGGUAGCUUAACCUUCGGGAGGGCGCUUACCACUUUGUGAUUCAUGACUGGGGUGAAGUCGUAACAAGGUAACCGUAGGGGAACCUGCGGUUGGAUCACCUCCUUA
rnacentral:rRNA from 2 species